AUGCCCUGUUGCCGGUGCUGUAUUACCAUCAUUCUGUUGCGCCAAACCCUUUUGUUUACACCGCACCGCACACUUGCUCUUCUCCCACUGAUUGCCGUGCACUUGUGCAUGCCCAGGAGGUGUGUUUCAGUUUCAGCGUUCUCGACUCCAACAACCGCUUUGCAGACAAGCAGGAAAGCGGGCUGCGUGGAUGCAUGGGCGGACGGACGAUCAUCACAUCGGAUUAUCAUGGCGUGCCGUGGCGCCAGGUGGGGUCGACGAGGGAGGGCCGUCGGGCCAUCUCCUGGAGAUCGUCGUAAAGCGCCUCCACUCACGCCACCGGAGAGGAAUGAGAUCCCCGGCAGAUCGCAUCGGCAGCACCGCCUACUCGAGUGCCUAGGAAAAGAGCGCCGGUGCUUCCUUCCGAUCAUGCUACCCCCUCAGCCAGAUUUUGCUCCACCAAGAAACAGAGCAGGCAACUUGCCUGAUAAACUAUCCCAAACAGUUUGCUGGGGUUCUGCAUACCAGGUAUGCUAG
rnacentral:rRNA from 1 species